GACCAUGGCGCAGGCUACCAUGCAGUCGAGCGGAUGACGGGAGCUUGCUCCUUGAUUCAGCGGCGGACGGGUGAGUAAUGCCUAGGAAUCUGCCUGGUAGUGGGGGACAACGUUUCGAAAGGAACGCUAAUACCGCAUACGUCCUACGGGAGAAAGCAGGGGACCUUCGGGCCUUGCGCUAUCAGAUGAGCCUAGGUCGGAUUAGCUAGUUGGUGGGGUAAUGGCUCACCAAGGCGACGAUCCGUAACUGGUCUGAGAGGAUGAUCAGUCACACUGGAACUGAGACACGGUCCAGACUCCUACGGGAGGCAGCAGUGGGGAAUAUUGGACAAUGGGCGAAAGCCUGAUCCAGCCAUGCCGCGUGUGUGAAGAAGGUCUUCGGAUUGUAAAGCACUUUAAGUUGGGAGGAAGGGCAGUAAGUUAAUACCUUGCUGUUUUGACGUUACCGACAGAAUAAGCACCGGCUAACUCUGUGCCAGCAGCCGCGGUAAUACAGAGGGUGCAAGCGUUAAUCGGAAUUACUGGGCGUAAAGCGCGCGUAGGUGGUUCGUUAAGUUGGAUGUGAAAGCCCCGGGCUCAACCUGGGAACUGCAUCCAAAACUGGCGAGCUAGAGUACGGUAGAGGGUGGUGGAAUUUCCUGUGUAGCGGUGAAAUGCGUAGAUAUAGGAAGGAACACCAGUGGCGAAGGCGACCACCUGGACUGAUACUGACACUGAGGUGCGAAAGCGUGGGGAGCAAACAGGAUUAGAUACCCUGGUAGUCCACGCCGUAAACGAUGUCAACUAGCCGUUGGAAUCCUUGAGAUUUUAGUGGCGCAGCUAACGCAUUAAGUUGACCGCCUGGGGAGUACGGCCGCAAGGUUAAAACUCAAAUGAAUUGACGGGGGCCCGCACAAGCGGUGGAGCAUGUGGUUUAAUUCGAAGCAACGCGAAGAACCUUACCAGGCCUUGACAUGCAGAGAACUUUCCGAAGAUGGAUUGGUGCCUUCGGGAACUCUGACACAGGUGCUGCCUGGGCUGUCGUCAGCUCGUGUCCGUGAGAUGUUGGGUUAAAGUCCCGUAACAGAGGCAACCCUUUGUCCUUAGUUACCAGCACGUUAUGGUGGGCACUUCUAAGGAAACUGCCCGGUGACAAACCCGGAGGAAGGUGGGGGAUGACGUCAAGAUCAUCAGGGGCCCUUACGGGCCGGGGCUACCACCUUGCUUACAAUGGGUCGGUAACAAAGGUUUUGCCAAGCCCGCGAGGGGGGAGCUUAAUUUCACAAAAACCGAUCGUAAUUCCGGAAUCCCGAGUUCGGGAACUUCCAUUCCGUGGGAAAUCCGGAAUUCCUUAAGAAAACCCGCAAAUCUAAAAAGUCUCCGGUGGAAAAACGUUCCCCGGGCCUUUGAACAAACCCGCCCCGUAACACAUGGGAAAGUGGGUUGCCCCCAAAGAAGUAUAGGUUACAACCUCUCGGGGGAGCGGUUCACCUCGCUGGUUAUUGCAACCGUGGUGAAGCCUCACUCCAGGGUACGGCUCAUAUGAGGCGGCCCCCCCACCGCACAAG
rnacentral:rRNA from 1 species